AGAUGCAGGAUGAAGACUUGAAAUGGGUUGAAGAAAACAUUCCCUCUUCCAUGGCUGACGUGAUGUUGCCCCCACUGCUGGACUCCGAUGAGGAAAUAGUGACCACAAAGUUUGAAAUGUCCAAGAUGGAAUAAAAUUGGCAUCCUGGCCGGUUGCUUUGACCGCUCUCGCUGA